ACACAAAAAUACUUUAUGCAUGGAGAAAGGUGGUGGCGUGAAGAGAAGAGUUCAACUCGAUUUGGACUCUAGAUUUUCAUUCAAAUUCAAACCCAUUUGAACUCAAAUUUAAACCAACCAAUUUCUAAUUCAACAAGAGAUCAGAUGUGAGUAUGAAAUUACUUUCGAGUAUGAAAGAAAAAAUCUAUGCAAAAAAUUUCUCGCAUGAACAAAUAGAGGGCGCAG
rnacentral:lncRNA from 1 species